rnacentral:rRNA from 1 species
AUUGAACGCUGGCGGCAGGCCUAACACAUGCAAGUCGAGCGGAUGAAGGGAGCUUGCUCCUGGAUUCAGCGGCGGACGGGUGAGUAAUGCCUAGGAAUCUGCCUUGUAGUUGGGGAUAACGUCCGGAAACGGGCGCUAAUACCGCAUACGUCCUGAGGGAGAAAGUGGGGGAUCUUCGGACCUCACGCUAUCAGAUGAGCCUAGGUCGGAUUAGCUAGUUGGUGGGGUAAAGGCCUACCAAGGCGACGAUCCGUAACUGGUCUGAGAGGAUGAUCAGUCACACUGGAACUGAGACACGGUCCAGACUCCUACGGGAGGCAGCAGUGGGGAAUAUUGGACAAUGGGCGAAAGCCUGAUCCAGCCAUGCCGCGUGUGUGAAGAAGGUCUUCGGAUUGUAAAGCACUUUAAGUUGGGAGGAAGGGCAGUAAGUUAAUACCUUGCUGUUUUGACGUUACCAACAGAAUAAGCACCGGCUAACUUCGUG